rnacentral:rRNA from 1 species
AUUGAACGCUGGCGGCAGGCCUAACACAUGCAAGUCGAACGGUAACAGAAAGUGCUUGCACUUUGCUGACGAGUGGCGGACGGGUGAGUAAUGCUUGGGAACUUGCCUUUGCGAGGGGGAUAACCAUUGGAAACGAUGGCUAAUACCGCAUAAUGUUUUCGAACCAAAGUGGGCUUAGGCUCACGCGCAGAGAGAGGCCCAAGUGAGAUUAGCUAGUUGGUAAGGUAAAGGCUUACCAAGGCGACGAUCUCUAGCUGUUCUGAGAGGAAGAUCAGCCACACUGGGACUGAGACGCGGCCCAGACUCCUACGGGAGGCAGCAGUGGGGAAUAUUGCACAAUGGGGGGAACCCUGAUGCAGCCAUGCCGCGUGUGUGAAGAAGGCCUUCGGGUUGUAAAGCACUUUCAGUGGUGAGGAAAAGUUAGUAGUUAAUACCUGCUAGCCGUGACGUUAACCACAGAAGAAGCACCGGCUAACUCCGUGCCAGCAGCCGCGGUAAUACGGAGGGUGCGAGCGUUAAUCGGAAUUACUGGGCGUAAAGCGCACGCAGGCGGUUUGUUAAGCUAGAUGUGAAAGCCCCGCGCUUAACGUGGGAUGGUCAUUUAGAACUGGCAGACUAGAGUCUUGGAGAGGGGAGUGGAAUUUCUGGUGUAGCGGUGAAAUGCGUAGAGAUCAGAAGGAACAUCAAUGGCGAAGGCAGCUCUCUGGCCAAAGACUGACGCUCAUGUGCGAAAGUGUGGGUAGCGAACAGGAUUAGAUACCCUGGUAGUCCACACCGUAAACGCUGUCUACUAGCUGUAUGUGUAUUUAAUACGUGUGUAGCGAAGCUAACGCGCUAAGUAGACCGCCUGGGGAGUACGGUCGCAAGAUUAAAACUCAAAUGAAUUGACGGGGGCCCGCACAAGCGGUGGAGCAUGUGGUUUAAUUCGAAGCAACGCGCAGAACCUUACCAACCCUUGACAUCCUGUGCUAACUCCAGAGAUGGAGUGUUCCCUUCGGGGACGCAGCGACAGGUGCUGCAUGGCUGUCGUCAGCUCGUGUCGUGAGAUGUUCGGUUAAGUCCGGCAACGAGCGCAACCCACAUCUUUAGUUGCCAGCAGUUCGGCUGGGCACUCUAGAGAAACUGCCCGUGAUAAGCGGGAGGAAGGUGUGGAUGACGUCAAGUCCUCAUGGCCCUUACGGGUUGGGCUACACACGUGCUACAAUGGUAGUGACAGUGAGUUAAUCUCCAAAAGCUAUCUCAGUUCGGAUUGGGGUCUGCAACUCGACCCCAUGAAGUCGGAAUCGCUAGUAAUCGCGUAACAGCAUGACGCGGUGAAUACGUUCCCGGGCCUUGUACACACCGCCCGUCACACCAUGGGAGUUGGUUCUACUCGACGGCCGUGCGCUAACCUUUUGGAGGCAGCGGACCACGGUAGGAUCAGCGACUGGGGUG